UACGAGGGGAGCUAGCGGUUAUUCGGAAUUACUGGGCGUAAAGCGCACGUAGGGCGGCUUUGUAAGUAAGAGGUGAAAGCCUGGAGCUCAACUCCAGAACUGCCUUUUAGACUGCAUCGCUUGAAUCCAGGAGAGGUGAGUGGAAUUCCGAGUGUAGAGGUGAAAUUCGUAGAUAUUCGGAAGAACACCAGUGGCGAAGGCGGCUCACUGGACUGGUAUUGACGCUGAGGUGCGAAAGCGUGGGGAGCAAACAGG
rnacentral:rRNA from 1 species